AAUAACCUAUUGAUGUUAGUUAAGAUGAACUACAUAAUGGCUGUCUAAGAAGAAGUAGUUGCGACCGAUAUAAAACGCGUAAGCCGCAGCAAGCAAGGAACCAUAACUAAAAUAAUCUAUUUUAUUAAGUACGAUUGACUUUGCCCAGUAACAUAAUGCUCUUCAUUAUAUCACAGCCAGAACGUAGAAAAGCUAGCACUAACCUAUGGAUUACAGCUACCAUGAAGAUUUUAUUUAAUUAAGGAGCAUUUCUUUCAAACCGUGCUCAGGCACCGAGAAUUAUCCUUAAUACAUGCUCACUCUUAACGAAGAGCUUAACAAAGAAAGUCGUAGCCCAACGGGAUCUACCAAUGAAGACUAAGAAUUGUAAAUGACUUGAACAAACUAAGUCCCCUGUAGAAACGGAGAGAUCGAGGUUGGGGAAGGCACCAAAGUAACCUAGGUGCCCAAAGCAGUCUUUUUUUACUCAAUAAUUUUCUACGAUUGUUAGACAAGAGAAUAACCCUAGAAUGCAGGCUGGGCACUUAAUCAACACCGUUGUCUUUAAGGGAUCUUUACAGGAAGCGGAAGUCUACCUUUCGGUGUUCGAAGCAGAAACUCAUGGACGCAGGUAGAUACAAAGUUGCGCGUGGUUAUUAAACCUUUAUCGAACAGAACCUGAUCCGAUGAAGCAUGGUACUCAUACUUGCCAGAGAUUGUUUCAGAGACCAAGCCUGUCGUUUAGGGUCAACUUCUAUGAGUCUACUCUUGCAAAUUGAAUCUAGGCGACAAAUGGUAAACCUGGUUAAUCAGUAACUUAUAGGGAGUUAAAUGAGUUUGGAAGCGCAAUACCUACAUCGCGUUAAAAUUAGCGUGGAAUUAGUUAAUUUCCUCUAUUUGUGUAAUCUCGUGAAACAAAAGUCAAAUCCCUUUUCGAAGGUAUAACUAUAGCAAAUGCCCAGUGUUGUUGGUAAAAUGGCUUAACGUACUACAGAGCGUACAAUUUCUUUUAACCUUAACAGAUUAAUAAGCAAACACUGCACAAAAGCAGUGUAAGGGGACAUACGUGCUAUAAACGCUAGUGUAGAGACAGGUGCCUGUGUGUGCUCUUUUAUGUACGAAUUCUGGUCGCUUACAUUGUGCUUUACUAAAGCGAUGUGAGCUUAGGCUAACUUUAAAGAUCCUCUAAAACAAAUGUGUAGACUAGGUUUACUGUUAGUGCCUUUACUGCUGAGAGCUGAAACUCUUUUUAACUAUCUUACAGUAAUUGUACGCUCUUAAGUGGAAAGUGAAUUGCUCUAUGUUCCCAGACUACUUCUCGUAUUUUUGCAUGUAACAGCCAAGCCCAUACGAAAUUGGCGUCUAAGACUUUUAGUUCUCUGCAUCUUUCAUUGCAUCUCUGUAGUAGCGGCAUAGAAAGAGGACUUUGAUAUUAUUCAAAGGACAAUAUUACAUAUAAAACCACUUUUAACGAAAUACCGACUAAGAAUGUUUUGGUCCUUCCUUAGACAUGAGCUCAGGAGUCUAUGUUCUUACCAUAGUGUUUUAAUGGGUCAUGUAUUAGUGUUUCUAGCUAGGAUGUAGUGGCUAUCAAUGAUACCGUUUACGCGUACCUUAAUUGGCGUUGCCUUUUUGAACUUGUUUUUAAUUAUAUGCAGAGCAAAGCCUUCGAGUAAACUUGAUUUUGUUCUAAAUUGCUAAGUUAUGCAGCGCGUGCUUAUAACGUAUCAAAUUUAUGAGGGAAGAUCAAAUUGCGCUUCAUGCUCUUAACCGCUGAGCUAUGACGACAACUGUCGAUCUCGAUAUGGAUUUCUGUUUCUUUAAACUUUCCACUUGAGUCUAAGUUCGCUCCAAGACACAACUCUACCCCCUUUACCAUUCUUAUUCUACGUGCCUGACUUUCUUUGACUUCAGAACACGAAACUGCGGAUACCGUAUCAAUAUUUUCCUUCUGAUAGACGCCUACAUUGAGUACCCGAGAGUUAAACAAGGGGUGAAAAUUGUAGAGGACUGGGAAAGGUAGUAGAAGUGCAUAAAAAUGGCGAAUUAAAGUACAAUGUUCAAGAAAUUGUCUUAAUCUUUUGUUUUUAAGACUAUCCGCCACGACACACGUGAAGUAACCGCCUUAAACGCCUGUUUGAUAAACUGAAAGCACUUAU